GUCUGGUAUCGAUGGCAAUACCGGUGCAAACCGGUAUGGGGGUAAUCUGACAACAGUCAGGACGGCAUCUGCCGCGAACGGCUCAGCGAGCCGGGGAACCCCGCAAUAACUCAACACACUGUCACCCCGGUGCACAGAUACCGA
rnacentral:sRNA from 1 species